ACGAGUUAGACAAACUCCAUCAAACCCUCGUGAACAGUACCUACAAUACGUUGCUUCGGCGGACAGACGCUCCCGGGUAACACCGGGCCGCCCCGCCAGGAGGACCCGUAAACUCUUAUUUAUAACAUGUUUAAUCUGAGUACUAUACUAAUAAGUA
rnacentral:misc_RNA from 1 species